rnacentral:sRNA from 1 species
UAAACCCUAAAAAACAAAAGCCCUACCUCUCUUUUAUCAUUACGGCUCCUUGGCCGUGCCACUAAUAAUAAGGCUAACUAACAAAGU